UCUUUCAACAACGGAUCUCUUGGCUCUCGCAUCGAUGAAGAACGCAGCGAAAUGCGAUAAGUAAUGUGAAUUGCAGAAUUCAGUGAAUCAUCGAAUCUUUGAACGCACCUUGCGCUCCUUGGUAUUCCGAGGAGCAUGCCUGUUUGAGUGUCA
rnacentral:rRNA from 1 species